rnacentral:tRNA from 1 species
GGCGAGAGCCCGAUUCUUCGGCUCGGCACUCAUAAUGCUGGGGUCGAGGGUUCGAGUCCCUCCCUUCCACCA